GUGUCAGCCGCCGCGGUAAUACGUAGGUGGCAAGCGUUGUCCGGAUUUAUUGGGUUUAAAGGGUGCGUAGGCGGCCCUGUAAGUCAGUGGUGAAAUACGGCAGCUCAACUGUCGAGGUGCCAUUGAUACUGCAGGGCUUGAGUACAGACGAGGUAGGCGGAAUUGACGGUGUAGCGGUGAAAUGCUUAGAUAUCGUCAAGAACACCGAUAGCGAAGGCAGCUUACUAGACUGUAACUGACGCUGAGGCACGAAAGUGUGGGGAUCAAACAGGAUUAGAAACCCUGGUAGUCC
rnacentral:rRNA from 1 species